UACGUAGGGUGCGAGCGUUGCCCGGAUUUAUUGGGCGUAAAGGGCGCGUAGGCGGCCACGCACGUCCGUUGUGAAAUCGCCCGGCUCAACUGGGCGGGGUCGGCGGAUACGGCGUGGCUGGAGCAAGCUAGGGGGCAAUGGAAUUCCCGGUGUAGUGGUGGAAUGCGUAGAUAUCGGGAGGAACACCAGUGGCGAAGGCGGUUGCCUGGAGCUUUGCUGACGCUGAGGCGCGAAGGCUAGGGUAGCAAACAGG
rnacentral:rRNA from 1 species